UGGGCGAAAGCCUGAUCCAGCAAUGCCGCGUGAGUGAUGAAGGCCUUAGGGUUGUAAAGCUCUUUUACCAGGGAUGAUAAUGACAGUACCUGGAGAAUAAGCUCCGGCUAACUCCGUGCCAGCAGCCGCGGUAAUACGGAGGGAGCUAGCGUUGUUCGGAAAUACUGGGCGUAAAGCGAACGUAGGCGGUCUAGUAAGUCAGGGGUGAAAUCCCGGAGCUCAACUCCGGAACUGCCCUUGAAACUACUAAACUAGAAUCCUGGAGAGGUCAGUGGAAUUCCGAGUGUAGAGGUGAAAUUCGUAGAUAUUCGGAAGAACACCAGUGGCGAAGGCGACUGACUGGACAGGUAUUGACGCUGAGGUUCGAAAGCGUGGGGAGCAAACAGGAUUAGAUACCCUGGUAGUCCACGCCGUAAACGAUGAUAACUAGCUGUCCGGGCUCAUAGAGCUUGGGUGGCGCAGCUAACGCAUUAAG
rnacentral:rRNA from 1 species